CCUACGGGAGGCUGCAGUGAGGAAUAUUGGUCAAUGGACGCAGGUCUGAACCAGCCAAGUAGCGUGAGGGAUGACGGCCCUAUGGAUUGUAAACCUCUUUUGUCAGGGAGCAAAGGGCGCCACGUGUGGCGCUUUGCGAGUACCUUAAGAAAAAGCAUCGGCUAACUCCGUGCCAGCAGCCGCGGUAAUACGGAGGAUGCGAGCGUUAUCCGGAUUUAUUGGGUUUAAAGGGAGCGUAGAUGGGUUGUUAAGUCAGUUGUGAAAGUUUGCGGCUCAACCGUAAAAUUGCAAUUGAUACUGGCAGUCUUGAGUACAGUUGAGGUAGGCGGAAUUCGUGGUGUAGCGGUGAAAUGCUUAGAUAUCACGAAGAACCCCGAUUGCGAAGGCAGCUUACUAAACUGUCACUGACAUUGAUGCUCGAAAGUGUGGGUAUCAAACAGGAUUAGAUACCCUAGUAGUA
rnacentral:rRNA from 1 species